rnacentral:rRNA from 1 species
CCUACGGGUGGCAGCAGUGGGGAAUAUUGGGCAAUGGGCGCAAGCCUGACCCAGCAACGCCGCGUGAAGGCAGAAGGCUUUCGGGUUGUAAACUUCUUUUAUGGGGGACGAACAAACGACGGUACCCCUUGAAUAAGCCACGGCUAACUACGUGCCAGCAGCCGCGGUAAUACGUAGGUGGCAAGCGGUAUCCGGAUUUAUUGGGUGUAAAGGGCGUGUAGGCGGGAGCGCAAGUCAGAUGUGAAAACUCAGGGCUCAACCCUGAGCCUGCAUUUGAAACUGUGUGUCUUGAGUGCUGGAGAGGCAAGCGGAAGUCCGGGUGUAGCGGGGAAAUGCGUAGAUAUACGGAGGAACACCAGUGGCGAAGGCGGAUUGCUGGACAGUAACUGACGCUGAGGCGCGAAAGCGUGGGGAGCAAACAGGAUUAGAUACCCUAGUAGUC